CCUACGGGAGGCAGCAGUGGGGAAUAUUGCACAAUGGGGGAAACCCUGAUGCAGCGACGCCGCGUGAAGGAAGAAGUAUUUCGGUAUGUAAACUUCUAUCAGCAGGGAAGAAAAUGACGGUACCUGACUAAGAAGCCCCGGCUAACUACGUGCCAGCAGCCGCGGUAAUACGUAGGGGGCAAGCGUUAUCCGGAUUUACUGGGUGUAAAGGGAGCGUAGGCGGUUUAGCAAGUCAGAAGUGAAAGCCCGGGGCUCAACUCCGGGACUGCUUUUGAAACUGUUGAACUAGAGUGCAGGAGAGGUAAGUGGAAUUCCUAGUGUAGCGGUGAAAUGCGUAGAUAUUAGGAGGAACACCAGUGGCGAAGGCGGCUUACUGGACUGUAAAUGACGCUGAGGCUCGAAAGCGUGGGGAGCAAACAGGAUUAGAUACCCGGGUAGUC
rnacentral:rRNA from 1 species